rnacentral:rRNA from 1 species
CAGUCGCCGCGGUAACACGAAGGGUGCAAGCGUUAAUCGGAAUUACUGGGCGUAAAGCGUGCGUAGGCGGUUUGUUAAGUCUGCUGUGAAAUCCCCGGGCUCAACCUGGGAAUGGCAGUGGAUACUGGCAAGCUAGAGUGUGUCAGAGGAUGGUGGAAUUCCCGGUGUAGCGGUGAAAUGCGUAGAGAUCGGGAGGAACAUCAGUGGCGAAGGCGGCCAUCUGGGACAACACUGACGCUGAGGCACGAAAGCGUGGGGAGCAAACAGGAUUAGAUACCCGUGUAGUCCCUGUCUCUUAUAC